rnacentral:rRNA from 1 species
GAUGAACGCUGGCGGCGUGCCUAAUACAUGCAAGUCGAGCGAACAGACGAGGAGCUUGCUCCUCUGACGUUAGCGGCGGACGGGUGAGUAACACGUGGAUAACCUACCUAUAAGACUGGGAUAACUUCGGGAAACCGGAGCUAAUACCGGAUAAUAUAUUGAACCGCAUGGUUCAAUAGUGAAAGACGGUUUUGCUGUCACUUAUAGAUGGAUCCGCGCUGCAUUAGCUAGUUGGUAAGGUAACGGCUUACCAAGGCGACGAUGCGUAGCCGACCUGAGAGGGUGAUCGGCCACACUGGAACUGAGACACGGUCCAGACUCCUACGGGAGGCAGCAGUAGGGAAUCUUCCGCAAUGGGCGAAAGCCUGACGGUGCAACGCCGCGUGAGUGAUGAAGGUCUUCGGAUCGUAAAACUCUGUUAUUAGGGAAGAACAAAUGUGUAAGUAACUAUGCACGUCUUGACGGUACCUAAUCAGAAAGCCACGGCUAACUACGUG